rnacentral:tRNA from 2 species
AAAAAUUUAGUUAAUAUAUAACAUUAACUUGUCAAGUUAAAAUAAUUAAUUUUUAAUAAUUUUUA